CAGUGCCCAGCCCAGUGCUUGGCACCUAGUAGGUGCUCAAUAAAUGGUGGCGCCUACUGAGUUGCAGUAGAUGCAGAGUACUGUGGGCAGA
rnacentral:miRNA from 1 species